AGCAGAUAACGGCUCUGUGCUGCCCGGAGGGCUGUUAACGGCAGCUAAACCUGACGAAGCAGGCACAGGAGGAAAGGGGCAGCGGUCAAAGAACUUGCUGUAUCUUCGAUAGAUGACCUCAGUGGUGCCAUUUGACCAGGAACUUCAUAUAAGCAGAAUGAACAAAGCAGGAGUUCUGAUUAUUUCUUCUACAUUGAUCAGCACCAUCUCAGUAUCCAUAUCAGGACACAGACAGGGACUUCAGUGAUAAAGAACAGCCUGAAUUCUUCAUGCAUUGGAUUCAUCAUGGUGCUGGAAACAUUCCUUAGAGACUCUGGGCCCAUGUUGCAGCUGAUUUGUUGGCUUCACAUUCAUGCUGCAAACUUCCCAUCCCACCACACCCAAGGAACCCUUAUAAGGUGGGAGCAAAAAUGAACGAGACGCAUUACCUACUGUACAUAUCACAUGGAAACAUAACCUGCAAGGCUACUACAGAUCCUGGCGAUUACCUGAAACACUCCUGUAGAAGGUGUUAUCUUGUAUUCACAUAUUAUGGUUCACCCCUAAGGCACAAAAUAAAGAACCCAGCUUUCUCCAGAUAUACUUGAUGUGCAAAUAGAGUCCAUUGGUAAAGUUCAAGAAAAUGGUCAGAUCCUUCUGGAGAUCAGUAUCAAAGUCUGUCUGUUUCUCUUCAGCCUACAAGAAUUUUACGAAGCUUCAGCUGAACUGUACGUAUAGAACUUGGCAGGUUUCUGGGCUGAUCCAAUAUAUCCUCCAACUUCCUCACUCAUCCGGAAGAACAUUUCCUGCUCCUGCUUCUUCUGUUCUAGGUCAUCCUCCAGAGCCUGUUGUAAUAUAAAUGUAAUUUUACUAUAUUUACAAGUAGUGAUAAACCAAUUUGACAAUCA